rnacentral:rRNA from 1 species
UACGUAGGGUGCGAGCGUUAAUCGGAAUUACUGGGCGUAAAGCGUGCGCAGGCGGUUUUGUAAGCCAGAUGUGAAAUCCCCGGGCUUAACCUGGGAAUGGCAUUUGGGACUGCAAGGCUCGAGUGCGGCAGAGGAGACUGGAAUUCCUGGUGUAGCAGUGAAAUGCGUAGAUAUCGAGAGGAACACCUGCGGCGAAGGCGGGUUGCUGGGCUGACACUGACGCUGAGGCGCGAAAGCUAGGGGAGCAAACAGG